rnacentral:rRNA from 1 species
AGGACGAACGCUGGCGGCGUGCUUAACACAUGCAAGUCGAGCGGAAAGGCCCUUCGGGGUACUCGAGCGGCGAACGGGUGAGUAACACGUGAGUAACCUGCCCUUGGCUCUGGGAUAGCUCCGGGAAACCGGAAUUAAUACCGGAUAUGACUGCUGCUGACAUCGGUGGUGGUGGAAAGAUUUAUCGGCCAGGGAUGGGCUCGCGGCCUAUCAGCUUGUUGGUGGGGUAACGGCCUACCAAGGCGACGACGGGUAGCCGGCCUGAGAGGGCGACCGGCCACACUGGGACUGAGACACGGCCCAGACUCCUACGGGAGGCAGCAGUGGGGAAUAUUGCGCAAUGGGCGGAAGCCUGACGCAGCGACGCCGCGUGGGGGAUGAAGGCCUUCGGGUUGUAACCCUUUCGGCAGGGACGAAGCGAAAGUGACGGUACCUGCAGAAGAAGCGCCGGCUAACUACGUGCCAGUAGCCGC